rnacentral:rRNA from 1 species
CGGACGGGUGAGUAAUGUCUGGGAAACUGCCUGAUGGAGGGGGGUAACUACUGGAAACGGUAGCUAAUACCGCAUAACGUCGCAAGACCAAAGAGGGGGACCUUCGGGCCUCUUGCCAUCGGAUGUGCCCAGAUGGGAUUAGCUAGUAGGUGGGGUAACGGCUCACCUAGGCGACGAUCCCUAGCUGGUCUGAGAGGAUGCCAGCCACACUGGAACUGAGACACGGUCCAG